rnacentral:rRNA from 2 species
UACGUAGGGACCAAGCGUUGUUCGGAUUUACUGGGCGUAAAGGGCGCGUAGGCGGCAUAUUAAGUCAGCUGUGAAAUCUCCGAGCUUAACUCGGAACGGUCAGCUGAUACUGAUGUGCUAGAGUGCAGAAGGGGCAAUCGGAAUUCUUGGUGUAGCGGUGAAAUGCGUAGAUAUCAAGAGGAACACCUGAGGUGAAGACGGGUUGCUGGGCUGACACUGACGCUGAGGCGCGAAAGCCAGGGGAGCAAACGGG